GGUUAAGUGACUAAGCGUACACGGUGGAUGCCUUGGCAGUCAGAGGCGAUGAAGGACGUAUUAACUUGCGAUAAGCCCAGAUUAGGCAGUAAAAGCCACUUGAGUCUGGGAUUUCCGAAUGGGGAAACCCACUUGCAUAAG
rnacentral:rRNA from 1 species